ACUGUAGCUCAGUUGGUAGAGCAACAGAUUCGUAACCUGUAGGUCGCGAGUUCAAUUCUCGCCAGU
rnacentral:tRNA from 1 species